UUUUCCCUUCUUCUUGUUGUU
rnacentral:miRNA from 1 species